rnacentral:piRNA from 1 species
UCAGUAAAUUGAUUGAUGAUGGUAGCAGAC